rnacentral:rRNA from 1 species
UACGGAGGGGGCUAGCGUUGUUCGGAAUUACUGGGCGUAAAGCGUACGUAGGCGGCUUUGUAAGUUAGAGGUGAAAGCCCGGGGCUCAACUCCGGAAUUGCCUUUAAGACUGCAUCGCUUGAAUCAUGGAGAGGUUAGUGGAAUUCCGAGUGUAGAGGUGAAAUUCGUAGAUAUUCGGAAGAACACCAGUGGCGAAGGCGACUCGCUGGACAAGUAUUGACGCUGAGGUGCGAAAGCGUGGGGAGCAAACAGG